CCUACGGGAGGCAGCAGUGAGGAAUAUUGGUCAAUGGACGAGAGUCUGAACCAGCCAAGUAGCGUGAAGGAUGACUGCCCUAUGGGUUGUAAACUUCUUUUAUAUGGGAAUAAAACGUUCCACGUGUGGCUUUUUGUAUGUACUAUAUGAAUAAGGAUCGGCUAACUCCGUGCCAGCAGCCGCGGUAAUACGGAGGAUCCGAGCGUUAUCCGGAUUUAUUGGGUUUAAAGGGUGCGUAGACGGGUCGUAAAGUCAGCGGUAAAAGUCCGGGGCUAAACCUCAGAGAUCAGUUGAAACUGGCGUACUUGAGUACGCGAGAGGUAGGCGGAAUGCGUGGUGUAGCGGUGAAAUGCAUAGAUAUCGCGAAGAACUCCGAUUGCGAAGGCAGCGUACUGGCGCGUGACUGACGCUGAGGCACGAAAGCGUGGGUAUCGAACAGGAUUAGAUACCCGGGUAGUC
rnacentral:rRNA from 1 species